CCUGGCGGCCAUAGCGCGUGGGAACCACCCGAUUCCAUUCCGAACUCGGAAGUGAAACCGCGCCGCGCCGAUGGUAGUGUGGGGCCUCCCCAUGUGAGAGUAGGUCACCGCCAGGC
rnacentral:rRNA from 1 species